GACUUCGUAGCUCGGCUGGUAAAGCGCUUGCCACGUUGAGGCAUGAUGUUUCUGUCGCCGGUUCAAAUCCAGCCGAAGUCC